CCUACGGGUGGCAGCAGUCGAGAAUCAUUCACAAUGGGGGAAACCCUGAUGGUGCGACGCCGCGUGGGGGAAUGAAGGUCUUCGGAUUGUAAACCCCUGUCAUGUGGGAGCAAAUUAAAAAGAUAGUACCACAAGAGGAAGAGACGGCUAACUCUGUGCCAGCAGCCGCGGUAAUACAGAGGUCUCAAGCGUUGUUCGGAAUCACUGGGGGUAAAGCGUGCGUAGGCUGUUUCGUAAGGCGCGUGUGAAAGGCGCGGGCUCAACCCGCGGACGGCACAUGAUACUGCGAGACUAGAGUGAUGGAGGGGGAACCGGAAUUCUCGGUGUAGCAGUGAAAUGCGUAGAUAUCGAGAGGAACACUCGUGGCGAAGGCAGGUUCCUGGACAUUAACUGACGCUGAGGCACGAAGGCCAGGGGAGCGAAAGGGAUUAGAUACCCCUGUAGUC
rnacentral:rRNA from 1 species